rnacentral:lncRNA from 1 species
GCCCCGUUUAUUAACUCGUUCUGCUUGAUGCUGGGGGAGAACAAACACAGACUACAAACAUUGAAAGAAACAGAGUCACCUCUUCCAACACACCUGAUUCAAAUGAUUAUCAGGCUUCUGCAGAGCUGGAUGAUCAUUUGAAUAAGGUGUGCUGAUUAGUGGCCCUCGAGGACCGGAAUUGGACACCACUGGAAUACCAUGUUGUCAUGCAGCCUUUUGUGCUGUGGGGAAUAAAUAGCUGGCUGCUUCCACCUGCUGACACUCCACACUUAUUCUACUCAAAAUGCAGAGAAGGUUUACCACUCAAGAAGCGUUGGAAUUGAUCCUGAACAAUGCAAACCCUUGUGACUCAGAUGGGGAGGACAUAAACCUUCAGCCAAAUUCGGAUUCGGACUCUGAGCUGUCUUCAGAUGACGCGACUGCUCCUCAUCUGGAAAAGAGAGCUCGGUUGGAGAGUGAGCCCACAGAGACGGCGAAAGAGGGCACAGUGUGGCAUGAAGAACAUGUGGGUACAAUUCUCCGUUUCACUCCAAUGGAACCGUACGCUGCAGAUGGAGAGCCAACAGCAAAGGCCAGAAGAAGAAUCAGGAGUCGCCUUCAGAGCUUCCUCUGUUUCAUUACUGUUGGCAUGCUCCGUCCCAUUCAAGAAUGGACUAUUCAGCAUGCACGGCAAACGGAGCAGACGGACUGGUUCAUGAUCCUCCAUGAACUAAUGGCAUUUAUUUCUGUUAUUAUUUUGAGGGGGGUGACCAAGGUUCCAUCUCUGCGUGACAGCUGGUCAGCAUGCCUGGGAAACCCACUUAUCACUGGAAUUAUGUCACGAAACCGUUUCCAAGACAUCAUGCGUCACCUACGAUUUGAUGACAUGUUUACGCGCAGUGAGCGAGUGCAGACAGAUAAGUUUGCUGCAAUUUCGGAUGUGUGGGGAUCGUUUGUUACCAACUGCAUCACAUGCUACAACCCUGGUCGACACAUCACAAUUGAUGAACAGCUUUUCCCAUCGAAGACUCGCUGCUGUUUCCUGCAGUACAUUGCAACAAAACCCGAC